UUGUUUUAUUAAAAUAAUAACGUUCAUUACACAGUGUUUGUAUUAAAAGCCCCGAAGGGCACAGUUCACAGAGGUUUGGAUAGUUAUAAGCCCAAAGGGCGUUCACUAAUGAUCCUUCCGCAGGUUCACCUACGGAAA
rnacentral:misc_RNA from 1 species